rnacentral:tRNA from 1 species
GCCGCGGUGGCGGAAUGGUAUACGCAGCGGACUUAAAAUCCGCGGGCCUUAAAAGCCAUGAGAGUUCGAGUCUCUCCCGCGGCA